rnacentral:lncRNA from 1 species
AAAAACACUUUGGCCAGUAACAACAAUGCACAAUAGCUAGAUGUAACCCAAUAGAUUUGGAAUGACAAUGCACAAACAAGUAAACGUAUACAGAGUAGACAUUGCAAUUGACAGAGUUGGAAUGAAUUAUGCACACUAUUUGCCAUGCUCAUUAAGACCGCGAAACAACCAUGGUGUAACCUGAAAAGCUAACAGUCAUCAACACCCACCACGCAGCACUGGAUAGACCGAAAUUACACAUAAAGGAAGUAACCAAAGCACCACAAAGAAAUCGUGAAAGAAACCUUCAAUUGACCAAUGAAAAACUACAAAAGAACCAAAAGAAAACCUACUUGGAGUUGAGAUGAGUAAUUGGAAAAUACUUAGAGGCACGAAAAUAAGGCUUGAGGGGAGCUGCGACGCGUGAGACGACGCACUGAGAAAGGUUGCAGCAGUAAGGGUUGCGGUUCCUUGGGUGGAAUCAACGAGAAGUUGAGGGAAAGGACCGUGAACAGUGCAAUAGGAGCAACAGAGCAGUCCCUCUAUGUGGGUGAGAGUGAAACCACAAAUGAGAGUGUGAGUAAGUGCUUGGUCGUGGAGGAUUGAAAGAGAGUGAGUGGUGUUUGAAAGUGUGGUUAUGAGAGAGUCAGUGUGUUUAUGGAGUGCGACAAAUGCAGUUGAGUGUGGUGGGGUUGUGGAUCAGUGCGAAGUGGUGGUUGGAAGUGGAGAUGGCUGUGAGAGAGUGAGAGGGAAUAUGGUUUGGACAUGAGAAAGUGAGAGAAUGGAAAAGUUAGGGCAAUGGGGAGAGUGAGGAGGAAGUGGCGCAAGGGAGGCGCCUGGGCUUAGAGUUAGGUGGAGUGAAAUGGGCCACCUACUCUACACUUCAGCCUAAUUCAAAUUGACAAUUUCUGCAUAUCGCGCGCCCAGGCACCCUCUAGGGGGGCUUGAGCGUGAAUUCUACAGAAUUCAGAAACUGAAGAAUUGCACAACUCGCCCAAUGAUUUCUUUUUUAAUUUGACACUUCUUGGAACUCAAUUCAGCCCAGAUUAAUGUAUUUCCAUUAUACAAACUUGCUCAACACAAAAAGGGGUGAAAUUGAGUGCUAGAAUGACAAAUCAAGUGCACACAUCCAAGAUCUCUAAUUCUACAACUCAAG